rnacentral:tRNA from 1 species
ACUCUUUUAGUACAACCAAUACAAGUGACUUCCACUCACUAAAUCUUGACUAUAAACCAAGAAAGAGUA